rnacentral:lncRNA from 1 species
CUGAGUGUUAGUUUUAAAUAGACUAUUGACAAAUUACAGAUUUUUUUCACGUAUUGAAAUUAUAUUCCAGAUGAUUUUGAGAUUUACUGGUAUAAUAUUCUCCUCAUGAGGUAGGAUGGAAGGGAAGAAAUAGAGAAAAAAUGUUCUGCUCUGAAAUAAAUGUGGUGUUUCCUGACAGCGUUUGUCAAGGAAGGAAAGGUCGAAAAUAAAGCACUGAUGGAAAUACAUGAUAAAUAAGUAUUGCCGGAGAGUUUCUGCAAUAUGCUACUGCAGUCCAUAUGCUUAUCAAUUAUGAGGAUUUUUGGCUUUCGGCUCUGGAAAAUAUGAGAAAUAUGGGCAAUUACUCUCUGAAGAAAGUUGGUAUUCUGGAGCCAAUGCACAUUUAAUAAUGAAUGUUUUUUCUUUUAUUUCUUUUCUUUCUCUCUUUCUCUCUCUUUUUUUUUUUUUUUUUUUUUUUUUUGACAAGGUCUGACUCUAUUGCCCAGGCUGAAGUGCAGCGGCACCAUCUCAGCUCACUGCAACCUCCACCUCCUCAGCUCACGUCAUUUUCCCACCUCAGUCUCCACAGUAGCUGGAACUACAGGCAUACACCACGUGUGUUAGGCUAAUUUUUGUAUUUUUUUUGUAGAGAUGGGGUUCCACCAUGUAGCCCCGGCUGGUCUUGAGCUCAUGAGCUCAAGCGAUUCACCUGCCUCAGCCUCCCAAAGUGCUGGGAUUACAAGUGUGAGCCACCAUUCCUGCCUCUAUACCUCUAAAGGUAUUAGUUUUCCCUAGGUGUUGAAUAAUUUGAAUGGGAAUUUGAAGGUCCAUGGCUUCCAAACCAGCAGGAGUUAAGGCUUAAUUGCUUGGAAAUACAUUUUCAUGGCUGAUACCAGUAACAGAAAAAUGUCUGUAUGUCAAGAGGCUCUGUACUAAUCAGUUAACCAUAACAUGUGCCACCCCAUACCUUGGGCCAAUGUAACUGUUAACAGCUUGAAGCUAUUAAAAAUGUACCAAUGGAGAACUUUCUUAUACUUUUUUCACUAAUGUGCUUCUUCACUCUAAAUAAAGGAAUAGAUAAAUUUUAUACUUAACUACUGUCAGAGAAAAGGAAAGUACCUUCGCUUAGUUUGAGCUUCAAAACAUUACAUCCAAUGGUGUUCAUUAAGGUAACACUUUGAAAGUCACUCAAUUGCUAAUAUGCUCUCUCUGCGUCAACUCAGAGGCUGCCUAUUAGAUCUAGUUACACUCCAGAGACAGGGAUUUGCUUUCCAGCUCUAGAGAUCAGGUCAAGAAUUGCAAUAACAAUUAGUAAUUAGUAGUUAGAUCUCAAUUUACCACAUUAGAAGGUCACUCCUCUGAAGCAUUUGGUCUCAUGAGAGGAAAGGAAUACAGGAGACCAUCAACUGUUGACACUUUGAAAUCAAGAAAAGAAUCUAAGAUUCUCCUUGAAAUUGAGUGAGCCACCGUGCCCAACCUCUACUGGCCAUCUUCUUAACACAGUUAUCUUCUACUAUCCUCCACCUACCUCCUCGUCAACAUCUGAUUCUCCUAACUUUCAAGUAUAUCUUGCACGUGUGCCUUUCUCCA